AACGAUGAAGUCUCCAGCUUGCUGGGGGUGGAUUAGUGGCGAACGGGUGAGUGACACGUGAGUAACCUGCCCCUUUCUUCGGGAUAAGCUUGGGAAACUGGGUCUAAUACCGGAUAUUCAGCGGCUGCCGCAUGGUGGUUGUUGGAAAGAUUUAUUGGGAGGGGAUGGGCUCGCGGCCUAUCAGCUUGUUGGUGGGGUGAUGGCCUACCAAGGCGUCGACGGGUAGCCGGCCUGAGAGGGUGACCGGCCACACUGGGACUGAGAUACGGCCCAGACUCC
rnacentral:rRNA from 1 species